GAUGAACGCUGGCGGCGUGCCUAAUACAUGCAAGUCGAGCGAACAGACGAGGAUCUUGCUCCUCUGACGUUAGCGGCGGACGGGUGAGUAACACGUGUAUAACCUACCUAUAAUACUGGUAUAACUUCGGGAAACCGGAGCUAAUACCGUAGAAUAUCUUGAACCGCAUUGGUCAAUAGUGAAAUACGGUGUUUCGGUCACUUAUAGAUGGAUCCGGGCCGCAUUAGGUAGUUGUGCAGGUAACGGCUUACCAAGGCGAGGAGGCGUAGCCGACGUGAGGGGGUGAUAGGCGACCUGGGAACUUAGACAGCGUCAAGAGUACUACGAGAGGGCGCAGAAGGGAAUCUGCCGCAAUGGGCGAGAGUUUGGCGGAGCAACGCGGAGUGAGUGAUGACGGUCUUGGGAGCGUAAAAAUGUGUUAUUAGGGAAGAACCAAUGUGUAAGUAACUAUGCCCGUAUUGACGGUAAUUAAUAAGAAAGCAACGGCUAACUACGUG
rnacentral:rRNA from 1 species